rnacentral:rRNA from 1 species
UACAGAGGGGGCUAGCGUUGUUCGGAAUUACUGGGCGUAAAGGGCGCGUAGGCGGCCCGCUAAGUCGAACGUGGAAUCCCCGGGCUCAACCCGGGAACUGCGUCCGAUACUGGCAGGCUUGAAUCCGGGAGAGGGAUGUGGAAUUCCAGGUGUAGCGGUGAAAUGCGUAGAUAUCUGGAGGAACACCGGUGGCGAAGGCGGCAUCCUGGACCGGUAUUGACGCUGAGGCGCGAAAGCCAGGGGAGCAAACGGG